rnacentral:rRNA from 1 species
GCAGUCGAGCGGCAGCGCGGGGGCAACCCUGGGCGGCGAGCGGCGAACGGGUGAGUAAUACAUCGGAACGUGUCCAGUAGCGGGGGAUAACCUGUCGAAAGAUAGGCUAAUACCGCAUACGACCUACGGGUGAAAGCGGGGGACCGCAAGGCCUCGCACUAUUGGAGCGGCCGAUGUCGGAUUAGCUAGUUGGCGGGGUAACGGCCCACCAAGGCGACGAUCCGUAGCUGGUCUGAGAGGACGACCAGCCACACUGGAACUGAGACACGGUCCAGACUCCUACGGGAGGCAGCAGUGGGGAAUUUUGGACAAUGGGCGCAAGCCUGAUCCAGCCAUGCCGCGUGAGUGAAGAAGGCCUUCGGGUUGUAAAGCUCUUUCGGCGGGGACGAAACGGUCCGUGUCAACACCACGGACUAAUGGCGGUACUCGCAGAAGAAGCACCGGCUAACUACGUGCCAGCAGCCGCGGUAAUACGUAGGGUGCGGGCGUUAAUCGGAAUUACUGGGCGUAAAGCGUGCGCAGGCGGCUCCUUAAGUCAGAUGUGAAAUCCCCGGGCUUAACCUGGGAACUGCGUUUGAAACUGAGGGGCUUGAGUGUGGAAGAGGGGGGUGGAAUUCCAGGUGUAGCAGUGAAAUGCGUAGAGAUCUGGAGGAACACCGAUGGCGAAGGCAGCCCCCUGGGCUAACACUGACGCUCAUGCACGAAAGCGUGGGGAGCAAACAGGAUUAGAUACCCUGGUAGUCCACGCCCUAAACGAUGUCAACUGGUUGUCGGGGAAGCAAUUCCUUGGUAACGAAGCUAACGCGUGAAGUUGACCGCCUGGGGAGUACGGCCGCAAGGUUAAAACUCAAAGGAAUUGACGGGGACCCGCACAAGCGGUGGAUUAUGU